rnacentral:lncRNA from 1 species
GCAGUUAAGCUCGAUCUUCAUCCUUAUCCUUAUCCUUAUUCUAAAAGCAGUUAGAUGUACUUCUUUAGAGGAGGGAAUAAGACAGCCAGAUGCCUAGGCAGAUAAAAAAGGGUCCCUUGAGAAUGUUCGCCUCGCCCCAUAAGUGUUUAUAUCAUAUGCUUUUUUGCACAUGAGGGAACCUGUCCAGGGCUUGUCUGGGCAUGCCCACAAAGGACUGGAGCCCAACAUACGCACUGGGGGAAGUGGAUGGAGCCCCAGGGAAUUUGUGUCUCACAGGGGAGGAGCCUGCUCUCUUCAGCUUGUGUGGUGACUGAUCUCAGAAUCAAUCUGUGGGGUGGGGGGCCUAUUAACAGCACUCCAUCUUGUUUUGCUGAGGUUUCUUUUUUCCAAUAAAAUCCUGCUCUACUCACCCUUCAAUGUGUCUGCAUGCCCAAAUUUUCCUGGUUGUGUGACAAGAUCCCAAUUUUAGCUGAAGGAGCAAAAUUCUGCAACAUUGUGAAGGGGGGUUUCCAGAAAAAUGCCACACAGAACUGUCAGGUCAAAUAACAAUUCUCAGCAGAUGGUGUUUUGAGGGAGCUUCAGAGCCCCUUCUACACCCUCCAGUGGCUGCUGGUUUUCCCUGGGAUUGUGGCACUGUUGGUUGUCAAGGCUAACACAAAGUUUGGGAGAUGAGAUGAAAUUAGGGUUAGUGGAAAUGCUACAAAGCAGGCUGUUCUUGCUGAGAUUCAGGUGGUUUUCUUGAGUAAAACUUCCCACAUUGCCUUUGGUUAAUUUCCUGAAUUCUGGAGUUCAUUUUGACAUAUUUGUUGUUCUCAUUGUUCUUAAAGAGUGGCUUUUCAUAGGUUCUUUCUCUACCAUUCCCAUUGGUAUCUUAAAGACAAUCCUUGGCGUCACCCCAUUUCACUCUUACGGUUCAGCUCAAUAUGCAGACAUAGCUCUACAGAACCACACUGCCAUUGUUUAACUGCUCACAAAAUUUCGUUAUCAUCUAAUACUCAAUUUAUAAUUAAAUAACAUCUAUUACCUCAGAAAUGCCUCUUUAUACGAUAUUAUUUGUUAUUUUCUCUUCUUUCAGUGAGCUAUGGGAGGUUAAUUCUUUGUAUUGGCUAUAUAAUUAGGGGAGAUGCAGGUAGGGCACCCCGCAAGGGUCUAGCGCUAGUUAAGUGGAUUCUGGCUUUAAACAAGAGGUGUAAAGGGGGCCCUUAGAGUUUUCUUUAACAUCUUCAAGCCAGUCCUCCAGGGAC